rnacentral:misc_RNA from 1 species
GAUGAAGAACGCAGCGAAAUGCGAUACUUGGUGUGAAUUGCAGAAUCCCGUGAACCAUCGAGUCUUUGAACGCAAGUUGCGCCCGAAGCCAUUAGGCCGAGGGCACGCCUGCCUGGGUGUCACACACCGUUACCCUCGCGCCAACGUCCAUCGUUGGCCGCGGCGCGGGGCGUGCGCUGACCUCCCGCGAGCGGGGUCUCGUGGUUGGUUGAAAAUCGAGUUCGCGGUCGAGGGUGCCGUGAUGAAAUGGUGGAUGGGCGACGCCCGAGGCCAAUCACGCGCGACUCUGUCCGGAUCGGACUCCUGGACCCCUUCGGCGUCUCCGGACGCUCUUUGGCGAGACCUCAGGUCAGGCGGGGCUACCCGCUGAGUUUAAGCAUAUCAAUAAGCGGAGGA